rnacentral:autocatalytically_spliced_intron from 1 species
AAGCUGCCUCAUUCUGUAGUAAUGCAGAAUUGGUUUUAAUAAAAUACAUGGCUAUAUGCUGGGAAGCUCUAUUUUUAAUAGAGUAAUCAGCAGGGAAGUCGCUUUGUUGGCGACCCCUCAGAUACCACACGCCGUGCUCCAUAAUUUUUUAUGGAUGAAGAUAUGGUACAUCAUUGAGGAAUGGAU